GAUGAACGCUGGCGGCGUGCCUAAUACAUGCAAGUCGAGCGAACAGACGAGGAGCUUGCUCCUCUGACGUUAGCGGCGGACGGGUGAGUAACACGUGGAUAACCUACCUAUAAGACUGGGAUAACUUCGGGAAACCGGAGCUAAUACCGGAUAAUAUAUUGAACCGCAUGGUUCAAUAGUGAAAGACGGUUUUGCUGUCACUUAUAGAUGGAUCCGCGCCGCAUUAGCUAGUUGGUAAGGUAACGGCUUACCAAGGCAACGAUGCGUAGCCGACCUGAGAGAGUGAUCGGCCACACUGGAACUGAGACACGGUCCAGACUCCUACGGGAGGCAGCAGUAGGGAAUCUUCCGCAAUGGGCGAAAGCUUGACGGAGCAGCGCCGCGUGAGUGAUGAAGGUCUUCGGAUCGUAAAACUCUGUUAUUAGGGAAGAACAAAUGUGUAAGUAACUAUGCACGUCUUGACGGUACCUAAUCAGAAAGCCACGGCUAACUACGUG
rnacentral:rRNA from 1 species